rnacentral:lncRNA from 1 species
GUGUUAGGCUAGGAAGCACCUGGGGAAUGGCAGCUCUGACAGGACUGUUGUGCAUCACCUGGGCACAGCAGGAGCACAGGGAUUAGCAUAUACAUCAGCUUUAUGGGGUGUAGGUGGUACUCCUGGUCUGCAUGGAAGGACAGCAGGAUCAUGGCUCAACUUCUGCCUCUGUGUGCAUGCAUAUGGCUGUGUGAAACAAAAGGCAAGCUGGAAAAGAAGAGGUUAUGUCUUCGUGUUCAAACUGCAGAUUGAGGAAGCAGAGAGCACUGAGGAAGUGUAGUCAGUCAUGAAGAUUGUGCAGUACCUGGGACCCCCUGCCUUUUACUCUACAGAGCGACAGCAAGACAUGAGACUUGCACCAGACCAUGGAACAUCUUUGAAGUUUUAAGAUGCUGUACCUGAAGUACUGUAAGUAAAGCUGAAAAAUUACAGUGUCUUUGGAAAUGCCUGCUGUGCAUGUAUAUAGGCACCCAUUGUUCUGUCCACUGUUAACUAU